UACUAUCAUGUAACUGCUCCUCCUCCAUCAAAGGAGGGACAGGUGAGCGUCUCCCACAGGCGCUGCUCCAUCCUGCGGCCCAGCUCCACGGAAGUAGCGACGUGGCUUCCCGGUGGACGUCACGAGCAUCGGAUCCAGCACCGAGCGGGAGACUCCUUGACACUCUGCACCGCUUAGACCGUGGAUCGUAAGUAGGGCUUCUCGAUUAUGGCAAAAAUCAUAACCACGAUUAUUUUGGUCAAUAUCGAGAUCACAAUUAUUAAACACAGUUACUCAUUGCCUUAUUCCAAAAGAAAAACCUGGGGGGAAAAAAAAAAAAAAAAAAAAAAACAUAGAAGACAAUUACAUAAAUUUGUUUAAUGAAAUAAAUUGCGGAGUACGUCACGUGACGCAUUUUGGCGAAUCGCGUCGCCAGAAAUGAACUUUAAACGUCCUUAGCCAGUGAGAUUCUGUCUCCCGGUGUAGAUCAGCCUGUUCAGCCUGUAGUUUCUGCAGGAGCUGGAGAAAGGAAAUGACCGUAUUUAGACCGGAGUCUGAGAGAGUCAUACAUCAGUCUGAGGUCACACAGACAUUGUUCAAAAUCAAAAACAAAAGAAAUGACCAUCACGUCUGUGGACGUGGCAGCAGAAGUGGAUGGUAGCUUUUCCUCAGACUCCACCAGUCAACAGCCCAAGCCUGUCUCCCUCUUUCUUUACCCUUGGGUGCAAUCUGAACCAACAAGAGUCAUUGAGUCAGUUGCAUCAUUGAAUAAAUAUCAAUAUUAGUGAACUCUUUUUCUUUUUGAAAGGCCAAAGAGAUCUCUGGCCAACCAACGUUCACCGAGACACGUGUACUUUAAUAAGGGGGAAUAGCAUCCAUCAAUGGUCGCAUGCGAGCACGGAGAAAAUCAGAGCUACUGAGACUUUUGUAAAUCUGCCAGAAAUUUACUAAAAGAACAAUGAAUGAGGUCAAACCAAAAAAAAAAAAAAAAAAACUAAAGUCAGCGUUUUGUCAUCCGUCCUCGUUUCAUGCUCAUCAUCCUGGAGUUCUGCUUCCCUCGCGAUCUUCUGUACGAUCUGAACCCAGAAACAUGACAACAAGUUUCAAGCAGUAUCCUGUAUAAGCAUGUCUGAUCUGCUAGUCCAAGUGUCCAUUCUCUCUACUCUACACAAAGUAAAGAAAAAGAAAUGUUUAGACCUGAUGCGAACGGUCGGCAUGUUUCAUACAGGAGAGAGACGUGUUUUCCUCUUCCUCUUUUUUCCCUCUUUCUCUACCUUCGUCUAUGUCUUUCUCCAAUAAACACACAGGACAAUAAACACACAGAACAAAACAAUAAACACACAGGACAAUAAACACACAGAACAAAACAAUAAACACACAGAACAAAACAAUAAACACACAGAACAAAACAAUAAACACACAGGACAAUAAACACACAGGACAAUACAAUAAAUAGAAAGGACAAUAAACACACAGGACAAAACAAUAAAUAUACAGGACAAUAAACACACAGGACAAAACAAUAAACACACAGGACAAUAAACACACAGGACAAUAAACACACAGGACAAAACAAUAAACACACAGGACAAUAAACACACAGGACAAAACAAUAAACACACAGGACAAAACAAUAAAUAGAAAGGACAAUAAACACACAGGACAAAACAACAAACACACAGGACAAUACAAUAAAUAGAAAGGACAAUAAACACACAGGACAAACAAUAAACACACAGGACAAAACAAUAAAUAGAAAGGACAAUAAACACACAGACAAAACAACAAACACACAGGACAAAACAAUAAACACACAGGACAAAACAAUAAAUACACAGGACAAAACAAUAAAUACACAGGACAAUAAACACACAGGACAAUAAACACACAGGACAAUAAACACACAGGACAAUAAACACACAGGACAAAACAAUAAACACACAGGACAAAACAAUAAAUACACAGGACAAUAAAUACACAGGACAAAACAAUAAAUAGAAAGGACAAUAAACACACAGGACAAAACAAUAAAUAUACAGGACAAUAAACACACAGGACAAAACAAUAAACACACAGGACAAUAAACACACAGGACAAUAAACACACAGGACAAUAAACACACAGGACAAUAAACACACAGGACAAACAAUAAACACACAGGACAAAACAAUAAAUACACAGGACAAUAAACACACAGGACAAAACAAUAAAUAGAAAGGACAAUAAACACACAGGACAAAACAUAAACACACAGGACAAAACAAUAAAUAGAAAGGACAAUACAAUAAAUAGAAAGGACAAUAAACAUACAGGACAAUAAACACACAGGACAGGACAAUAAACACAAGACAAUAAACACACAGGACAGGACAAUAAACACAAGACAAUAAACACACAGGACAGGACAUAAAUACACAGGACAAAACUAACACACAGGACAAUACAAUAAAUACACAGAACAAAACUAACACAAAGGACAAUAAAUACACAGGACAAUACAAUAAAUAGACAGGACAGUAAAUAAACAAGACAAUAAAAGAACAAGACAAAACAAUAAACACACAGAACAAAACAAAUACACAGGACAAUAAAUACACAGGACAAUACAAUAAAUACACAGGACAAUAAAUACACAGGACAAAACAAAUACACAGGACAAUACAAUAAAUACACAGGACAAUAAAUACACAGGACAAUAAAUACACAGGACAAAACAAAUACACAGGACAAUAAAUACACAGGACAAAACAAUAAAUACACAGGACAAAACUAACACAAAAGGACAAUAAAUACACAGGACAAUAAAUACACAGGACAAAACAAUAAAUACACAGGACAAUAAAUACACAGGACAAAACAACAAAUACACUAAAUAGAAAGGACAAUAAAUACACAGGACAAAAGAAUAAACACACAGGAAAAUAAACAACACACGAGACAAAACAAUAAAUACACAGGACAAUAAAAGAACAAGACAAAAGAAUAAAUAGACAGGACAAUGAAUAAACAAAACAAAAUAAAUACACAGGACAAUACAAUAAAUAGAAAGGACAAUAAACACACAGGACAAAACAAAAAACACACAAAACAAUAAAUACCCAGGACAAUAAAUAAACAAAAGAAAACAAUAAAUACAUAGAACAAACCAACAAACACAGGACAAAACAACAAAUACACAGGACAAAACAAUAAAUACACAGGACAAUAAAUAAACAAAAGAAAACAAUAAAUACACAGGACAAAACAAUAAAUACACAGGACAAAACAAUAAAUACACAGGACAAAACAAUAAAUACACAGGACAAUACACUAAAUAGACAGGACAAUAAAUACACAGGACAAUAAAUACACAGGACAAAACAAUAAAUACACAGGACAAUAAAUACACAGGACAAAACAAUAAAUACACAGGACAAUAAAUACACAGGACAAAACAAUAAAUACACAGGACAAAACAAUAAAUACACAGGACAAUAAAUACACAGGACAAAACAAUAAACACACAGGACAAAACAAUAAACACACAGGACAAUAAACACACAGGACAAACAAUAAAUAAAAAGGACAAAACAAUAAACACACAGGACAAUUGUUACGUUAGCUUGUUGGAGGCAACAGGAUUAACAGGAUUAGAAUACUGGGAUCAGGCGGAAGACGAAAUGCAGAAGGUAGCAGUUGGUCGGCGAUCGGGCGAACAAUACAGACUGGGCUAUACAAGGAAGCGUAUUCCGAGAACAAAAACUCCAAAAACCGUAGAAAUCCAAAACAUGAACAAAGGCUUGGUGAACGUCAGGUGAAAGGUAGCUGAGCGUUUACUUCGCGAGGCGCUGAAGUUAACGAGCCCUUGUAUAACCUACGGUGCGAGACAGGUGUUCUCACUCGGUAUUCUGGUGAACGUGAGUGCGUGCAUAGUCGGGAAGUGUAGUUCUCGUCGGCCAUGUUUGUAGUUGGCACUGCCUUCUGGGAACUGUAGUUGCGAACUCGCCGUGAUGUGACAGAGCCGCCCCCCCCCCCCGCAAAGGGCUCACUCCGGGAGCCGAAUCCUUCCGAGGCCUCCCUCUCCUCUGUAUUCUCGGUCUAGAUGAUUGAACGGCAUGGAAGUCCCUGCGCAGGUCUGGUUCCAGAAUGUCCUGGGACGGGAUCCAGCAAUGCUCCUCUGGGCCGUACCAUCCCAGUCCACCAGAUACUCGAGUUUACAGCUCCUACAUCUUCAGUUGAGGAUGUUGCAAACGCGGUAGGCUGGGCAGUUCCGAUGGGAAGUCAAUAAAUACACAGGACAAUACAAUAAAUACACAGGACAAUAAAUACACAGAACAAUAAAUACACAGGACAAAACAAUAAAUACACAGGACAAAACAAUAAAUACACAGGAUGAUAAAUACACAGGACAAAACAAUAAACACAGGACAAAACAACAAACACACAGGACAAAACAAUAAACACACAGGGCAAUAAAUACACAGGACAAAACAAUAAAUAAAAAUGACAAAACAAUAAACACAGCACAAAACAAUAAAUACACAGGACAAUACACACACAGGAAAAAACAAUAAAUACACAAAACAAUAAAUACACAGGACAAAACAAUAAACACAGGACAAUAAAUACACAGGGCAAUACAAUAACCACACAGGACAAAAAAAUAAAUACACAGGACAAAACAAUAAAUACACAGGACAAUAAAUACACAGGACAAAACAAUAUUUACAUUUAUGGCAUUUUGGCCGACGCCCUUAUCCAGAGCGACUUACAUUUAUCUCAUUUAUACAUCUGAGCAGUUGAGGGUUAGGGGCCUUGCUCAAGGGCCCAACAGUGGUAUCUUAGCAGUGCUGAGGCUUGAACUUCUGACCUUCUGAUCAGUCACCCAGAGCCUUUAACCACUGAUCCACCACUUCCCCAAUAAAUAGAUAGGACAAAACAAAUACACUGGACAAUAAAUACACAGGACAAUCAAUACACGUGGCUGGUUUUCUAUGGCGUUCUGGAAGCACAGCAGCGUUUACAACGUCACUGUCUUCCAGUUCCCUUUUCCUCUUCUGCACAACCUGAACCGAGAAACACGACAAGAAGUUUCAAUCAAUAUCCUGUAUAAGCGUGUCUGACCUGCUUCUCCGACAGUUUACUUGCUGUACUCUACACAAAGUAAAGAGACGUUUCGACCUGACGCAGAGGCUCGGCAUGUUGUCUCUUACGAUUCCCACAGUAGUUCUGCUCUUGAGAAGGCAUUUCAGAAUCUUCCACAGAGAUCGCGCUCUGAACUCAGUUUGUGUCGAUCCUUAAAAUGGAAUAUCAUUCUUUUAGAAUUUUAGAACCAGAAUAGAAGAUGGGCUUCAGAACACUUGUGACCUCAGUUGACCUCUGCUGAGUUCAGUUCGUUCAUCAGUACACCAUCAAGAAAAUAACAGGACAGAGAAUCUGGAGAUGAUUUACUUCUAUCAUUCACAAAUUAUUAUAAAUAUAAUAAUAAUAAUAAUAAUAAUAACAACAACAACAACAACAACAAACAGACACAAAAGCCAAUUGCAUUUUAUAUGCAAUAAUGAGCAGUUGGAUAUGCAAAAAUAUGUUAAAUAAAUAAAUAAAUAAAUAAAUAAAUGAGUAAAAUAAAAAUAUUUUGAUGUGGUCAUCUUUGAGCCCCUUGAAUAGCCGAUGUUAGGCCUAUAACUGACUGCUGAAAGAAUG
ensembl:lncRNA